CCUACGGGCGGCAGCAGUGGGGAAUAUUGCGCAAUGGGCGAAAGCCUGACGCAGCGACGCCGCGUGAGGGAUGAAGGUCUUCGGAUCGUAAACCUCUGUCAGCAGGGAAGAACGGUCACUGUGCUAAUCAGCAGUGAAUUGACGGUACCUGCAAAGGAAGCACCGGCUAACACCGUGCCAUCAGCCGCGGUAAUACGGAGGGUGCGAGCGUUAAUCGGAAUUACUGGGCGUAAAGCGCUCGUAGGCGGUAUGUCAAGUCAAGGGGGAAAUCCCCGCGCUCAACGUGGGAACUGCCUUUGAAACUGGCAAACUGGAGUGUGUGAGAGGAUAGUGGAAUUCCAGGUGUAGGAGUGAAAUCCGUAGAUAUCUGGAGGAACAUCAGUGGCGAAGGCGACUAUCUGGCACAUAACUGACGCUGAGGAGCGAAAGCGUGGGUAGCAAACAGGAUUAGAUACCCCUGUAGUC
rnacentral:rRNA from 1 species